rnacentral:rRNA from 1 species
UACGUAGGUGGCAAGCGUUGUCCGGAUUUACUGGGCGUAAAGAGCGCGCAGGCGGUCGACCAAGUCGCGUGUGAAAGCCCCCGGCUCAACUGGGGAGGGUCACGCGAUACUGAUCGACUCGAAGGCAGGAGAGGGUAGUGGAAUUCCCGGUGUAGUGGUGAAAUGCGUAGAUAUCGGGAGGAACACCAGUGGCGAAGGCGACUACCUGGCCUGUUCUUGACGCUGAGGCGCGAAAGCUAGGGUAGCAAACGGG